GCUUAGCCAUAACCAAGCAGCUAAAUAACCAGCUACUCGCCAAAUAACUACGAGUUAUAACUUAAAAUUUAAAAGACUUGACGGUACUUCACACCAACCUAGAGGAGCCUGUCUAAUAACCGAUAACCCACGAUUAACCCAACCUACCCUAGCCCAAUCAGUCUAUAUACCGCCGUCGCCAGCUUACCUUAUGAAAGAAACAAAGUAAGCCUAAUAAUAAUACAUUAACACGACAGGUCGAGGUGUAACUAAUGAGUAGGAUAAGAUGGGCUACAAUUUCUAAUCCAGAAAAAACGAAUAGACUAUGAAACUAGAAACUGAAGGCGGAUUUAGCAGUAGGUUAAGAAUAAACAUGCCUAACCGAAGAUAAUGCAAUGAAGUGCGCACACACCGCCCGUCAUCCCUGUAAGACCCAUAUAUUAUCCAUAAAAACCACCCAUCUACUAAACAGGGCAAGUCGUAACACGGUAAGCGUACUGGAAAGUGCGCUUAGAAA
rnacentral:rRNA from 1 species